rnacentral:rRNA from 1 species
UACGGAGGGGACUAGCGUUGUUCGGAAUUACUGGGCGUAAAGCGCACGUAGGCGGAUUGUUAAGUCGGGGGUGAAAUCCUGGAGCUCAACUCCAGAACUGCCUUCGAAACUGGCGAUCUUGAGUCCGGGAGAGGUGAGUGGAACUGCGAGUGUAGAGGUGAAAUUCGUAGAUAUUCGCAAGAACACCAGUGGCGAAGGCGGCUCACUGGCCCGGUACUGACGCUGAGGUGCGAAAGCGUGGGGAGCAAACAGG